AUGAACGCUAGCGACAGGCCUAACACAUGCAAGCAGGGGCAGCACAAGGAGCAAUCUGAGGUGGCGACCGGCGCACGGGUGAGUAACACGUAUGCAACCUGCCUGUAAGCGGGGAAUAACCCGUUGAAAGACGGACUAAUACCGCAUAAUACUAAAUUACUGCAUGGUAAUUUAUUUAAACAUUUAUGGCUUACAGAUGGGCAUGCGCAUGAUUAGCUAGUUGGAGAGGUAACGGCUCCCCAAGGCAACGAUCAUUAGGGGUUCUGAGAGGAAGGUCCCCCACACUGGUACUGAGACACGGACCAGACUCCUACGGGAGGCAGCAGUGAGGAAUAUUGGUCAAUGGACGAGAGUCUGAACCAGCCAAGUCGCGUGCAGGAAGAAUGUCCUAAUGGAUUGUAAACUGCUUUUGCAGGGGAAUAAAGUGCAUCACGUGUGAUGUUUUGUAUGUACUCUGCGAAUAAGGAUCGGCUAACUCCGUGCCAGCAGCCGC
rnacentral:rRNA from 1 species